GUAAAACUUGAAGAUUAAAAAGAUAAUUCAAUUCAAUUCAAUUCAAUUUUAUUUAUAUAGCGCUUUUUACAACAAAGGUUGUCACAAAGCCGCUUUACAGGAAAAACAGGUCCACGCCUCUUAUGAGCAGCACCACAGAGAUGCCAAUUUUAUGGUGACACAGUGGCAAGGAAAAACUCCCUUUAAGAGGAAGAAACCUUGGAAGGAACCAAGACUCAGUCCGAGGAACCCAUCCUACUCGGGUUGACCCGCUCAGUACAAACAAACAACAAACAAAUAACAGAACAAAAACAGUACAGAGAAUUAAUGUGAACUAUGGCUAAUAUAACAGGUACUAAUUUAUGAAUAUAAGAAUGUGGGUUGCAGAGCCGGAGAACAACACAGCGGGCAGUGGAGAGCCAGGCUGGGAACAUCAGGAACAGGGCAUCUCCAUACAUGUAAAAGAGAUAGAUAGAGAAAACAGAAAGGACAGGAAGAGAAAAAAAUAGCAGAAGUUAGAAGGGUUGUGAAAUAAUUCUGAUGAGUAGAAGGACAGACGGACACAUCCAGGAAGACCGGCCGGCCAGGCGUCUCAGCACAUGUGAGAAAGAUAGAGAGAGAGAUAGAGGGAGGGAAGAAAAAGGGGUUAGAAUGGUUUUAUAAAACUCUGCUGGAGUGGGAUGGGCACUGGUAGCAGCAGCUCAGGACAUGGGGAGAGAAAGAGAAAGCAGAUGAUUAGGACAGGGUUUAUAUUUGCUGGAUAAGCUGUAAGAGGAAGAAAAUUGUAAUGAGACAUUACUCAAAAGCUUGAGCAAAUAGAAAUGUUUUGAGUCUAGAUUUAAAGAUUGAGAGUGUGUCUGAGUCCCGUAUAUUAAUAGGGAGGCUAUUCCAAAGUUGGGGAGCUUUAUAAAAGAACGCUCUUCCUCCUGCAUAGUUUUUUCUAAUACGCGGGACUAAUAACAGGCCAGCUUCUUGGGAGCGGAGUGAACGCGGCGGAUUGUAAGGAGUAAGGAGUUCCUGUAGAUAAUGCGGGGCCAGACCAUUAAGGGAUUUAUACGUCAGGAGAAGUAUUUUAUAAUCUAUACGAAAUCUAACAGGUAGCCAAUGUAGGGAUGAAAGAAUAGGUGUAAUGUGAUCGAACUUUCUAGCUCUGGUAAGCACUCCUGCGGCUGCAUUCUGAACUAGCUGGAGUUUAUGGAGUAAUUUAUGUGGACUUCCAGCCAACAACGCGUUGCAGUAGUCCAGCCUGGAGGUUAUGAAUGCAUGUACCAGCUUCUCAGCAUAAAUAGAAAAUAACAAUAGAAAAUAACAUAAAUAAUAAUAAUAAAAUAAUAACACUGUAAAAA
rnacentral:lncRNA from 1 species